AAAAUAUGUUAUUUUACACCAUUCCAACAUAGCACUUCAUAAUGUAUGAAGUAGAAGAUAUAUCUAAUCUCCUAGAGGCUAACAAAGGUCUAAUAAUUAGCACAAGCAGCACAAUUUUUAGUCAACUGAACAUCAUGCAGGGACUCUAUUGUAUUGUACCCAUACAUGAAGAUGGGGUCUGUAAAUUCGAAUGUGUAUUCAUUAAAAAAUAUUCAGAUGUACAAGUCAAUGUGAGACUCUAUGUGUGUUCGCAUAUCUGCAUGAUGCAUU
rnacentral:misc_RNA from 1 species